UCCUGCUGAAGUAAUAGCAGAGAGCAUUGAGCUGACUGAAAAACAGCGAGAAGCUCAAAGGACAGAGCCCACCAGCUCAGAAUUGGCUCUUUUUGAUGAUGUGGAGGCAGAACAUUCUCCAGCGGUCCUAGAACCUGAGGUGGAGGAGGACAGAACUGCUAGGACUUUAGUUGUGGUGACCAGUCCUCUCAAGCCUCCUAUUGUGGUCCCUCCUUUGCUGAUCCAGAGUUGGAAGAGUUUGAAGCCAUGGACUUAGAUGCUCAACUGUAGCAAUUGGAGAAACUUGGAGCUACUCCAGGGAAAGCCAAGUUAAAAGCAGUGGAUGAGGCAGUGGGAAGGGUGAAGUUCUGGCAGUCAAUUGAGUGGGAUUUGGAUGAGAAUAAGGAAGUUGUUGAUUAGUUGAUGAAAGAUCUGGACCUGCUGCAUAGGGAAAACAUGGCUCCCAGGCCUAUCCUUGAGAUUAGCUUGGUUCUGGGAAGAGAUGUGCUCAACCUUCACAACUGUUACGAAGAUCUCAAGCCUUCCUUCCAUGCCUCUGAGUUCUACAAGACUACUCAUGAAGCCAAUCUGGCAGACCAAAAGAAACAGAAAGCAGAACUGGAUAUGAUGGUUGCCGAUUGUUAGGAGACCAAGUCUACUGCUAAUAAGCUACAGAAACAUAUUGAAGAACUCCAGAAGAAACUGGCUGGAUUAAGAGAGAGGCAAAACAAGCUUGGUGUUGGGCUGGGAGCGAAAACUAAGGCCACUUUCCUUGUGCAGAGUAUGGUCUCAGCUUCAAAACCUGCUUUAGAGAUUGCAGAAGCCUUCAUCCACCAGGGAGUACUCCUCCAAAAAGAACUAUCCAUCAAGAAGACUGGACUGCAGGAGACUCUUAGAA